rnacentral:rRNA from 1 species
UACAGAGGUCUCAAGCGUUGUUCGGAUUCAUUGGGCGUAAAGGGUGCGCAGGUGGCGCUGUAAGUCGGGUGUGAAAUUUCGGAGCUUAACUCCGAAACUGCAUUCGAUACUGCGGUGCUUGAGGACUGGAGAGGAGACUGGAAUUCAUGGUGUAGCAGUGAAAUGCGUAGAGAUCAUGAGGAAGACCAGUGGCGAAGGCGGGUCUCUGGACAGUUCCUGACACUGAGGCACGAAGGCCAGGGGAGCAAACGGG